UGUAGUCAUAUGCUUGUCUCAAAGAUUAAGCCAUGCAUGUCUAAGUAUAAGCAAUUAUACCGCGAAACUGCGAAUGGCUCAUUAUAUAAGUUAUCGUUUAUUUGAUAGCACAUUACUACUUGGAUAACCGUGGUAAUUCUAGAGCUAAUACAUGCUAAAAAUCCCGACUUCGGAAGGGAUGUAUCUAUUAGAUUAAAAGCCAACGCCCUUCGGGGCUCUCUGGUGAUUCAUAAUAACUGGUCGAAUCGCAUGGCUUUGCGCCGGCGAUGGUUCAUUCAAAUUUCUUCCCUAUCAACUUUCGAUGCGAGGGUCUUGUCCUCGCAUGGUUGCAACGGGUAACGGAGGGUUAGGGCUCGACCCCGGAGAAGGAGCCUGAGAAACGGCUACUACAUCCAAGGAAGGCAGCAGGCGCGCAAAUUACCCAAUCCCGACACGGGGAGGUAGUGACAAUAAAUACUGAUACAGGGCUCUUUUGGGUCUUGUAAUCGGAAUGAGUACAA
rnacentral:rRNA from 1 species